AAAGAAUUAGUUAAAUUUAUAAUAUAGGUUUGUCGUUCCUAAGUUACUGUGUUUUCAGUAUUUUUUG
rnacentral:tRNA from 1 species